rnacentral:rRNA from 1 species
UACGUAGGGGGCAAGCGUUGUCCGGAUUUACUGGGCGUAAAGAGCGUGUAGGCGGCCAUACAGGUCCGUUGUGAAAACUGGAGGCUCAACUUCCAGACGUCGACGGAAACCGUGUGGCUAGAGUCCGGAAGAGGAGAGUGGAAUUCCUGGUGUAGCGGUGAAAUGCGCAGAUAUCAGGAGGAACACCGGUGGCGAAGGCGGUUCUCUGGGCCUUACCUGACGCUGAGGAGCGAAAGCAUGGGGAGCAAACAGG